GAGAGGAAUGUAGUCGCUCUUCCGACGCAGGAGGGAGAGGAACGUAGUCGCUCUUCUGACGCAGUCUCUGGGUCCCCACUGACGCUGGGGUGCGAAAGCAUGGGGAGCAAACAGGAUCAGAUACCCUGGUAGUCCAUGCCGUAAGCGAUGAGUGUUCGUCCUUGGUUUGCCUGCCUACUAGGUAGGAUUAGGAUCAGGGGCCCAGCUAACGCGUGAAACACUCCGCCUGGGGAAUACGGUCGCAAGACUGAAACUCAAAGGAAUUGACGGGGGCCUGGACAAGCGGUGGAGCAUGUGGUUUAAUUCGAUACAACGCGCAAAACCUUACCAGCCCUUGACAUAUGAACAAGUGUGUCUGUCCCUAACGGGAUGGUGCGAAAAUUCAUACAGGUGCUGCAUGGUUGUCGUCAACUCGUGUCGUGAGAUGUUUGGUUAAGUCCUAUAACGAGCGAAACCCUUGUUUUGUGUUGCUGAGACAUGCGCCAACGGAUCAAUGUCAUCGCCCCUUCUCAAUGAAUCAAUAGGGUGAGGGAGAGGAAACUGAACCGCUCGCCCGAUAGAGGAGGGCGAGGCAAGCGCCUCUUUUUGAUUGAUGACACUCCUAUGAAGGCAGGUGCGUGCUGCACUCACAAGAGACUGCCAGUGAUAUGCUGGAGGAAGGUGGGGAUGACGUCAAGUYCGCAUGGCCCUUAUGGGCUGGGCCACACACGUGCUACAAUGGCAAUGACAAUGGGAAGCAAGGCCGUAAGGCGGAGCGAAUCCRGAAAGAUUGCCUCAGUUCRGAUUGUUCUCUGCAACUCGAGAACAUGAAGUUGGAAUCGCUAGUAAUCGCGGAUCARCAUGCCGCGGYGAAUAUGURCCYGGGCCCUGUACMCMCCGCCYGUCACACCCUGGGAGUUGAUUUCGCCCGAAGCAUCAGACCAAUGAUCACCCUAUCUAUAUAUGUUCCACUAGUGUGGCCCACGGAGGUUGGGGUGGUAUUAUUGACGCAUACCACGGUGGGGUCUUCGACUAGGGUGAAGUCGUAACAAGGUAGCCAUAGGGGAACCUGCGGCUGGAUCAAAUCCCUC
rfam:Picea glauca, whole genome shotgun sequence.